CAGCUUCACCUGUCUACCAACAAGCUGGAGACCUGGAAGAGGUGGUUGUUGAGAUGAACAGCAGCCUUCGGACAAAAGCUGGAAGUCCAGCUUCACCUGUCUACCAACAAGCUGGAGACCUGGA